CAGUCGCCGCGGGAAUACGUAGGUGGCAAGCGUUGUCCGGAAUUAUUGGGCGUAAAGGGCUCGCAGGCGGUUUCUUAAGUCUGAUGUGAAAGCCCCCGGCUCAACCGGGGAGGGUCAUUGGAAACUGGGAAACUUGAGUGCGGAAGAGGAGAGUGGAAUUCCACGUGUAGCGGUGAAAUGCGUAGAGAUGUGGAGGAACACCAGUGGCGAAGGCGACUCUCUGGUCUGUAACUGACGCUGAGGAGCGAAAGCGUGGGGAGCGAACAGGAUUAGAUACCCCAGUAGUCCCUGUCUCUUAUAC
rnacentral:rRNA from 1 species